UGCUAGGUGUGUUAUGAAUCAAUGCUAUCAUGUUAUUUUCCAUUAUAUAUAUUUUUUUAGUUUUUUAUUGCUGGCAUAGGGGACAUUAAAGCUUGAAUGAUCUUCGCUAAUAUUACCGAUAUCUCUCACCAGUUCUAAUAGUUUAUGACACUAAUAUGGUAUGUGGAUCUUCACAUCUGCCCUGGGUAGUUGGUCAGGAGGAGAGGCUAAACUCCAGUUCUUAGUUGCUCUCCUGGUGAGUUUAAGGAGGAGAGGGGACCAUACCUCAGAACGCCGACUCUUCGGCAUUCUAUAUUCUUCUCAAUCUUUCCAAUUCCUUACCAGGCAACUGGUCUCUCUAUUAGUUUCCUAGGGUUGUUUUAACAAAGUACCACAAAUUGGGUGGAUUAAACAAGAGAAAUUGAUUGUCUUGUGGUUCUGGAAGCUAGAAAUCCAAGAUCAAGAGAUGGGCAGGGUUGAGUCCCUCUGAGACCUAUAAGGAAGAAUCUGUUCUGUGCCUCUCCCCUAGAUUCUGGUGCUUUGCUAGCAAUCUUUGGUGUUCCUUGGCUGGUAGAAGCCUCCCCCAAUCCCCGCCUCAUCUUUACAUGGCAUCGCCCCUCUGUGUGUGCCUGUGCCAAAAUCUCCCCUUUUUAUAAGGACACCAGCCAUAUUGGAUUAGGGGAUAACUAUAGUCCAGUAUCAUUUCAUCUUAUCUAAUUGCAUCCACAGCAAUCCUACUUCCAAGUAAGGUUGCAUCCUGGAGCACUGAGGGUUAAGACUUCGACAUGGGAAUUUUGAGAGACCCACAAUCCGUAACAGCCUUCAAAGAUCCUGUCUGGACCUCUGCCCUGAAUGCUACAAUACUAUAAUCUAAUCAUCUACUCCUUGACAAGAAGAGGGGAAUGAAGAGGUUUGCCCUCACCUGUUGUUUGCUUGCCACCCCAACUGCAUGAUCCAAUCCAGAAAACCACAUUGCAUUGAGCUGUCAUGUCUUCUGAGUCUCUUCUGGUCUCCGUGACAGUUUCUCUGUCUUUCCUUGGUGGUCAUGACCUUGAAAGUCUUGAAGAAGACUGUCCAGGUACUUGUCCAGCACAGUGGGCUCUCGCAAGUCUCCUGCCCUCAAGAAUAUAGAAGCAAAAAAUAAUUAACAUCGUUCGGGGGACAUGUCAUGCUGUCCCAAGAACUCCUUACUACCGUCCACUCCAGUCUGCAGUG